rnacentral:ribozyme from 1 species
UGCCCAGCAACUCCUAUCCCUACCUCCACGCGGUACCGGCCGGAAACUAUGAGCAACCUUAGGGAAGAUCGGAUAACCAACCCCGGUGGGAACUUUGGUCGUAGGCUGACAAGGAAGG